GCGAACGCUGGCGGCAGGCCUCACACAUGCCAGUCGAACGCACUCUUCGGAGUUAGUGGCGGACGGGUGAGUAACACGUGGGAACGUGCCUUUAGGUUCGGAAUAACUCAGGGAAACUUGUGCUAAUACCGAAUGUGCCCUUCGGGGGAAAGAUUUAUCGCCUUUAGAGCGGCCCGCGUCUGAUUAGCUAGUUGGUGAGGUAAAGGCUCACCAAGGCGACGAUCAGUAGCUGGUCUGAGAGGAUGAUCAGCCACAUUGGGACUGAGACACGGCCCAAACUCCUACGGGAGGCAGCAGUGGGGAAUCUUGCGCAAUGGGCGAAAGCCUGACGCAGCCAUGCCGCGUGAAUGAUGAAGGUCUUAGGAUUGUAAAAUUCUUUCACCGGGGACGAUAAUGACGGUACCCGGAGAAGAAGCCCCGGCUAACUUCGUG
rnacentral:rRNA from 1 species